GUCUGGUCCAAAUGCAGUGGUGUUUAUAACUAAUUAAUCACAACCAGUUACAGAUUACUUUGUUCCCUCUCCACUACCACUGCUACACUUGACUAGCCUUAA
rnacentral:Y_RNA from 1 species